UACAGAGGUCUCAAGCGUUGUUCGGAUUCAUUGGGCGUAAAGGGCGCGUAGGCGGCCUGCUAAGUCGGACGUGAAAUCCCCUGGCUCAACCAGGGAACUGCGUCCGAUACUGGCGGGCUUGAAUCCGGGAGAGGGAUGCGGAAUUCCAGGUGUAGCGGUGAAAUGCGUAGAUAUCUGGAGGAACACCGGUGGCGAAGGCGGCAUCCUGGACCGGUAUUGACGCUGAGGCGCGAAAGCCAGGGGAGCAAACGGG
rnacentral:rRNA from 1 species